UUUGUACUUGAUUCCUCCUGUCUAGUCUUAAAGAUUUUGUUUUACUCUGGCCAUUUACUGGCAAUUCGGCAGUGAUUUUUUUUUUUCUCAGAGCGUUGUAGCCUUUCGCGAUUCGUAUUUGGUGAUACGGGGCCAUGGCAAGCGAGUUUUUUUUUUUUUUUUUUUUUUUUUUCCGACGCAAUGUAACAUUUUAAUUUUUGAAUACUGUUGUUUUUUGGGGUGUUGUUUGAGCAUUUAUGUUGUUUUUUCGUGAGGAUAGAUCGCGGUGGCGAGGAGGAAAGGAUGGAAGGGAGGGGACGUAGAGCUCUUAGCUUGGCCAGGCAUGCGGUCAUCACCUGUUGCAGCUCGUGGCUGGGCUAGCUGCUCUUGGGGAUGCGGCAAUAACUUUGCUUGUGAACAACUGAGGUUUUGGACCGUGUGAGAAGAGAUGGGGUAGUGAAGCAGAGAGAGCUGGGUGGCGCUCUGGAGCCAUCUGGCAACGUGCUGCCGGAUCAAUCAGUCCACUGAAUUCAUUGCUGCCCAUGUAGCAGAUGGAUUCUAAUCCGAUUGUCAUAAAGUGGGAGCUUCUAGCAUCAGCUGUGCGUUCGCACUGCUACCACCCUAACCUUCACAUCGGCGAUCUGGUAGCCUUGAAUCUCAUCUUAUCUCAUGCUUUCUGACUUCAUCGAUAUCAAUAUCUUUCGCUAUGUAGCACAAGUAUGCUGCUGUUUUUUUUGGUUUUAGCUCGAACUAAGAUUUGAAGUUUUGGAACAAGAGAAUAUACUGGUUGGUGUUUGCAAGAAGAUAACUGAGAGGUGGCGCAUUCUGCUGAUCGAGAUCCAAGAGGAAGUUGACUCAGUACGUGAAGGUUACGACGCGUAUUGCUGUCCACGCUCGCGUUCUGUUCACUGGGUGCAUUUGUGGCGUUAGCCAUCAGUUAGCGAAAUUGGAGGUCUGUGUAGUGAUCUAGAUUCGGAAUUGAAGGGUGAGAGAAAGAUCUGGCAUUAACGGAUGGCGGUGGAAGUAAACUGCUUACUCUAUUGGACUGCGAUCAAAAAGAGACCAAGUGCAACUUCAAAUUUAAGCAGCUUCAGUAUAUCGAAAUUUGUCUUUAAAGCAGGAAUUGGCUAAACCAGAUACAAGACGGACAGGACAUCCUUUCCACCAAUUACCAGAAGUAUCUUGAAUAUUUCAAAUGGACAUCACUUUGUUGGCUUCGGAGCUUGAUUUUGAGCGGUCAUCAUCCUGGCUGCUAUGAAACUUGAAUGUAAAAGGCAGAACUAUAUUGCUGACGUUGCCAAGAUACAGGAAGGGUAAGCAAUUUUUUCCUCAUCCCAUGUAGAAAAUAAUUUUCAAUUACCAUGAUAGCUGGUCAUGUUCUGCAUCAACAUGUGGCACAUUAUUUCUCUAGUUCAGGCUCGAAAGAAGUGUAAGAUUUUCAGUAUUACUGAGGAUUGUUUAGGGUAGAACUCCUUUGGGAAAGUUAAUCAUGAUAGUGUAGUACAACGGCGCACCUGUUCAGCACACUGUACGAGAAGUGUGUGCAUUGCCAGGCCUUCCUGACUGCAUUUGAUGUCAAAGAUUUGUUUGCAGCAUGCAUUAGAUUUUUCCUUGAUUACAGAUAGAAUGUUGGCUUUAUGGUGGCUACGUUACCCAAGACUCAACAUUCGGUGAUGUUCGGUACGCGAAUGCAGCCCACCUUUCAAAGUGUCUCCCCGCCUUCCCAGUGUUCACCGCUUGUGCUAUAUUUUAUUGCACGCUGUAAGCCACAAUCUGUCUUAGAUUUGCUGGAGCCUGAACAAGGAGGCUAUACAAGUUUAUUGUGCCCUAGAUUUUAUGUUCAAGCUAGAAUCCAAGUGAAAUAAUGCCUUAAUGAUUGAAUACCUUAUCACAUUUAUCCUGUGUACUUAACGCAAAACCUGCCUCGUGGGUCGUACUAAGUCAAGUGCCGUGCAAGCCAAGCACUUGGAUCGGAUAAAUUAUCCUCCUUUCGUGAAAAACAUCAUAAUAAUCUUGACCAACAUCAGUGUAUAUGUACCAUAUAUUGUAUUUGGAUGAACUUGUGCUUUUCUUUUACACAUCCUGGACUCUUCGCAAGCCUAUUUUUGCGUAAUACUCUAGUACAGCCAGCCAUUGGCCAAAAGUUUCAUGCCCUGUUAUACUUAGGCAUGUCCAUUUUCACUUGUUCUUAGUAGGUUUGGGAGUCCUUUUGUACAAGGAAAUAUCUGAAUCCAAUUUUCCGAACUUUAGAUGACUUUCAAGUUUACUUGUAAUUUCUUUUCAACUAGUUUGUAAUUGCUUUUCAUAUUGAAUUUUAUGAAAUCAUUGUUGUUGUUGUUUGUUUGUUUGUUUGUUUGUUUUUUUUUUUUCCCACUAAAAGAAUAGGGUCUAUAUGCAAGGUUACUAAUUUUGCUUCGAAACUGGAAUCAAUUGGAUUAUUAUCGCAGAGGGUAAUCUAUUCCGCAGGAGAAAUUCGUGUUCGAAAUUCUAUUGGACCUCUACGCUUCUCACGCUUGGUUUUCUUGGAUUACCCCUAAGUUUUCCACUUCAGGCCCAACCAUCUUCAACAUGUCCGAUAUUUUGAAAGGUGAUAAUUAUUCUUCUCUUCCAUGUUAACUUUGAGUCAUCAAACCGAAUAAAUUUUACGCAACUGUGUCUUCUAUUAAUACGCAUUCUGAUAUUAAAAAAUAAAUAGAACAGGGAUCUCGUUAGAAAAUCUGUCAUGGACUGCAUGUAGUGUGCCUUUAUAACUUUUGUUUCUAACUAAAAGCUAAACGUUAAGACUGCAUGGACCUCCUUCUCACAUAUAUGUCCAUUGAUUCUGGAGUUUGGUUGUCUGUUCUGUAACCAUCCUACACUUACAGACCGUAACUUUACCUACAGUGGGCUAUCUGGUGAUUCUCCUCACCUAUCCAGAGAGAUCACAGUUUUAAUACUGGGGGAACCUGCUACAAACUAGUUUAGAUGUGUGCUUAAUAGACCUGUUACGUGAACAACAAUCUUAGCUUGUUGUAUUCUCGGAUUGUUCAAACUCUUCCCUGCUAACCCCGAUGGAUAGGAUGGAACGACUCUAAACCUUGUAUCCUGAUUUUCAACCUGCUUGCAGUUUUUGCGGAUUCGAUGUAGAGUCGUUUGUUGAAUUAUUCAGUUGGUUGUGAUCUUGCGGGAGCUGGAACAGACUACUGGAUGGCAUAUCUGCCCAGUGUCAGGAUUUCCCCACUCUCGUAACUUCCUCAACAGCUUACCCUUCCGCACGUUCUUUUCAACUUAUUAUUUUCGUCACGGCAGCAUUUCCGUGUACACCCCAGAACCUCGCAACUAUCAUGACGGUUUAGGUCACGUCCCCAUGCUAGCUUGUCCUGAGUUUUCUUAUUUGGCGUGAGUUCUCGGCUAGGCCCCCGUGGAGUCUGACCGUUGAAUAACUGACAUUGUAUGAAGCUCUACCCGUUUACCUUACAGUUUGGUGCAGUGAAGUAGGAUAUCGAGAUUAGAGCGUUCGGUGCUGGCUUGUUGUCUGGCACUGAGGAACUAAAACACAUGAAGGACGGGUUUCAUGGAGUUAUGCCCUAGUUUUUGGAGCAUGACCCGUUUAAGAUGAGUUCCUGUAUGAGCCACAAAAAGUAGAAAUCCUAUAAAGUAUUUUCUGUGUGAGCUUUGAAGAUGCAGCGGCGAAGUUAAGUGUGUACACCAGCGGCAUUCUGAAGCCUGAGUUGAAGUCUGAGCAUUGUGGGGUACACUAAUGUAGCUCCGAUUCUUAUAAGAUAAGCUUUACAUUUGCAAAGCUAGUUCUUUGUUCUCUGAAACGCGCAUUGAUCUGUAGAAUACCCAUCAAAGUCGCUUUUCAGUUGUCUAGUCUUGAAAUAAUUCAUUGUAUAGAUGUCAUGUCAGUCACAGUUUUUUAAAAUACUUUUUUGAGUUGUAAAUCCUGAUUAGAUUAUGCGAUACGACUGUUUUCAAAUUGA